rnacentral:rRNA from 1 species
AUUGAACGCUGGCGGCAUGCCUAACACAUGCAAGUCGAAUGGCAGCGCGGGUAGCUUGCUACCUGGCGGCGAGUGGCGGACGGGUGAGUAAUGCAUAGGAAUCUGCCCAGUAGCGGGGGAUAGCCCGGGGAAACCCGGAUUAAUACCGCAUACGCCCUACGGGGGAAAGCAGGGGAUCUUCGGACCUUGCACUAUUGGAUGAGCCUAUGUCUGAUUAGCUUGUUGGUGGGGUAACGGCCUACCAAGGCGACGAUCAGUAGCUGGUCUGAGAGGACGAUCAGCCACACCGGAACUGAGACACGGUCCGGACUCCUACGGGAGGCAGCAGUGGGGAAUAUUGGACAAUGGGGGAAACCCUGAUCCAGCAAUGCCGCGUGUGUGAAGAAGGCCUGCGGGUUGUAAAGCAACUUUCAGUUGGGAAGAAACAGCAGCCGGCUAAUAUCCGGUUGUCUUGACGUAACCAACAGAAGAAGCACCGGCUAACUCCGUGCCAGCACG